rnacentral:sRNA from 1 species
AAAUUGCGUCUAUCCUGUCCUGAGUCAUCGUGCCUUCUAUGAAGUGAUGACAGAAAGAAUAUACUACUCUGUUAAUUAUGUAUGGUUUUGUGAAGGCUAUGAUACAUGCUGGCCAGCUGAAAACUGGAGACUUUCAUUUCACUGACUGUUUAUUUUUUGGCUCACUGAUGUCUGCUACAGAUCCAGUGACAGUGCUGGCCAUUUUCCAUGAACUGCACGUCGACCCUGACCUGUACACACUCUUGUUUGGAGAGAGUGUGUUGAAUGAUGCAGUGGCCAUAGUCCUUACAUAUUCUAUAUCCAUUUACAGUCCUAAGGAGAAUCCAAAUGCAUUUGACGCCGCAGCAUUCUUCCAGUCUGUGGGGAAUUUCCUGGGAAUCUUCGCUGGCUCAUUUGCAAUGGGGUCUGCGUAUGCCAUCAUCACAGCACUGUUGACCAAAUUUACCAAGCUGUGCGAGUUCCCAAUGCUGGAAACCGGCCUGUUUUUCCUGCUUUCUUGGAGUGCCUUCCUGUCUGCCGAGGCUGCCGGCCUAACAGGGAUAGUUGCUGUUCUCUUCUGUGGAGUCACA